ACUGGGCGAAGUGGGCAUGCUG
rnacentral:misc_RNA from 1 species